AAUGAACGCUGGCGGCGUGCCUAACACAUGCAAGUCGAGCGAGAAAGUUCCUUCGGGAAUGAGUAAAGCGGCGGACGGUUGAGUAACACGUGAGAAUCUACCCUUUAGUGAAGAAUACCUUCGAGAAAUCGAAAUUAAUACUGCAUAAGUCCCUUCGGGGAGAAAAGUGGCCUCUUUGCUACUGCUAAAGGAUGAGCUUGCGGACUAUCAGCUAGUUGGUGAGGUAAAGGCUCACCAAGGCUAUGACGGUUAGCCGGCCUGAGAGGGUGAACGGCCAGACUGGAACUUAGACACGGUCCAGACUCCUACGGGAGGCAGCAGUGAGGAAUAUUGCGCAAUGGGCGAAAGCCUGACGCAGCGACGCCGCGUGGAGGAUGAAGGUUUUCGGAUCGUAAACUCCUGUUAAGUGGGAAGAAAAGUCUGUGGUUAAUACCCGCAGAAAAUGACGGUACCAUUAUAGAAAGCACCGGCUAACUACGUGCCAGCAGCCGCGGUAAU
rnacentral:rRNA from 1 species